GGGCCACCUGCGACCAGGGCAGCUAAUGUGUCCUCCUGUCACCCCACUCCUGCUGGCCUGUCCCCAGCACCGAGCCCCCUGCCUCAUCCCUCCUCGUCCUCCCUGCCUUGGGGUACCACCAGGGGACAGGGGUUUUGCUCCUUGCACUCCACCAUGGGACAGGGUCCAGCUGUCCCCGGGGAGUCAGCCGGAGCCACUUUGUCCCCUUGGCCUGGCAGCCACCAGUCCGCUCGCCCACGGCUGCUCCCGGGCCGGCACGGCAGCUGGCCAAGGGGUUAUUUGAACCUUCCUGAAAUAGAAAUGGAGCCGGGAGCGAGCGGAGGACGGGCAGGAGGGGGUGGCCCAGCAGGCAAGGAAGGAGGUUCAGCCGGCCAGCGUAGGCUGUCCCCACUGUGAAACCCCGGGGUGGCCGGGGACAGAUGAACGGCAGUGAGACCCCGGUCAGGGCUGUGUGAGCAUGGGCGACAAAGGGUCCCCAGCUGCUCUGGCUGCUGCCCGGCCUGGGGACGGAUCCAGCCCUUCUACAGCAUCUCCAGGGCCAGCGUUGUCCCUGGGGCCGCAGCCGUCCCCCUCCAGCCCAGUGCUGGGGGGUUGCAGGGUGGCGCAGUGGCUUCGGGCGCUGCACGGUGGUGUGUGUCCCCCCCCCACCCCGCCCCGCGGCGGUGGCGGGGGCAUGGCUGGCAUUGCUCGCUGACACCCUAUCUGCCAGGUCCCCGCCAGGCGCGGGCCCAGAAUAGCAGCGCUGCCCUGCAGUCAGCAUGGAGCAACUCCCCGGCCCCACCGCGCCCCAGGUGGCGUUGCUGGAUGCUGCUGCCCGCCGCGAGGAGGAAGGGUUCCCAGAGGCCCUGUGCCCCAGGGAGGAUGGGGAGGAGGAGGAGGAGGAGGAAGAGGAGGAGGAGGAAGAGGACAGGCGGAGGAACCAGAGAGCCGUCACCUUCACGCUGGGCAAUGAGAUGCUGGGGCUGGGCCCGGGCCCGGAGAGUGAGUUUCAGACCCCCGACGCCGAGGUCUACAUGCACUUCCUGAGGAGCCACUGCUGCUAUGACGCCGUCCCCACCAGCUGCAAGCUCGUUGUCUUCGACAUCUCCCUGGAGCAGAUCAAGAAAGCCUUCGUGGCACUGGUGGCUAACGGGGUGCGUGCCGCCCCGCUCUGGGACAGCAAGAAACAGAGCUUUGUGGGGAUGCUCACCAUCACCGACUUCAUCAACAUCCUCCACCGCUACUACCGCUCACCCCUGGUUCAGAUCUAUGAGGUGGAGGAGCACAAGAUUGAGACCUGGAGAGAGGUGUACCUGCAGGGCUCCUUCAAGCCACUGGUCUACAUCUCCCCGAGCAAUAGCCUCUUCGACGCUGUCUACUCCCUGAUCAAGCACAAGAUCCACCGUCUGCCCGUCAUUGAGCCCAUCUCGGGCAAUGUCCUGCACAUCCUGACACACAAGCGCAUCCUCAAGUUCCUUCACAUCUUCGGCUCCACCAUCCCCAAGCCACGCUUCCUGAAGAAAACAGUGCAGGAGCUGUGCGUCGGCACCUUCCGUGAUGUGGCUGUCGUGCCCGAGACCGCCCCCAUCUACGCUGCCCUGGAGAUCUUCGUGGACCGCCGCGUCUCUGCCCUGCCCGUCAUCAACGAUGCUGGGCAAGUGGUCGGUCUCUACUCCCGGUUCGACGUCAUUCACCUGGCAGCCCAGAAGACCUACAACAACCUGGACAUCAGUGUGCGGGAGGCACUGCGGCAGCGCACCAUCUGCCUGGAGGGGGUUCUUACCUGCUACCCCCAUGAAACCAUGGAGACCAUCAUUGACCGCAUCGCCAAGGAGCAGGUAUCGAUGCUCUUAACUCUUAGCCCACGACGCUCCAUCUUUCUCCACUUGCACCCUCCAUUUCUCUCCACUUCAGGUAGGCGCCGUCCCCUGCCCGCUGCUGGGUCACCCACACCUCAUCAUCUCCCUGCUCGGGCCACUGGCCUCCACCCCAGCCAAACCGGCCCUGGGGGAAGGAGGCGGCUGGGGCUGGGGUCCAGCAGCGCUGGGUGCCCAGGGGGGAUGGCAGGACCUGGAUGCUGCUCGUCCCCGGGGACACAAGGAUCACAGUGGAUCCCUUCCGGGGUCCUGAUCCCUGGUGUCCAUGAGGAAGGAUGUGGGCACCUGCCAUGGAGACACCCCCAGACCCCCAUCCAGGCAGCGUAUGGGAUGCAGGUUUUGCAGGUCCCUGGGCUUUUGGUCUGGAUGAGGCUUUUAGUCUGUGAUGUGCCCCAAGACAAAAGCCCUUUUUUGACCUUGUCCCCCCUGAGAUCUGAGCCCCUCCAGUGCCAUUCCCAGGGGACACAGAGGGGACAGACCCCAACUCGCACAGCCUGGACAUGCUGCCCACCACUAGCCCUGUGCACAGGGUGGUUGACCCACGGGCCAUGGCUGGCAGACCCCACUGCCCCCUCCACCCGUGGUGGCCCAAAACUGCUUGUUCCUGGGCUGUGCUGGGACUGCGCUGCCCGGCCACCUGUGCCUGGCUCUGCUUGCCCACUGCCUCGUGGGUCCUCACUGGUGACGGGUGGGCACAGCGCUGGCGCCCACCGUGGCACCCGUUUAGGGGUGAACUGUGGAGGAGGGAGCUGGCCCCUGUGUCCAGCUGCUUCCCAGAAGUAAUGAUGCUUUUUUGGGGUGGUGAUGGCGGACAGGCUUGGGUCACUCCAUGCCCACCCUUGUGCCCACCCAUUCUCCCAGCAAUGCCCAGUUGCUCCAUGCAGAAGGGGACUGGGGGAGUGGUGUGUGUUAAUACACCAGAUAUGGGACUCUCCCCCCACCCCCCAUUUUCCUAUCGUGGUGCCUUCACUCACCCCAUCCUUAGUGCCCAUGGGGGUGUCUGUGCUGGGAGCUGCUGGGCAGCCACUGAGAUGUCCCUCUACAGGCCAGCACUCCCCUCCCAUUCCAGGGCUUGCAAUCCAGGGAUGGAGGCACGACCCUGCUGUCUCCGUGGCUGCCCGGGCAGGCAUUGACCGAUUCUCACUCUGAAGACACCAGGGAAGUGCCGUCAUCUUGUCCGACGCGGGGGUCUCUUGCAUGGCCCUGGGGCCGUGGAAGGAGGCUCGGGCCCUGGAGGCUCUCCACGGGGAGGGCCUGCCUGCCCGCCCCGGUCCUGGGGCUCGUCUUGAGUCCGGGGCCAGAUCCUGCCAGCCUCGGGGAGGCAGGGAGCGGGGAAAAGGGGGUCGGAGGGUGCCUCCCGCCAGCGAGCACACGGUGAUGCUCAAUGGGCAUUGAGCCUGAGGAGCCGUGCCAUGCCCGCAGCUGGGCACGGGGACCCACAUGGCCCCAGGGGACUCGGCCACCCCACUCCCAUCCAGCUGCAAGCGCCUCGGCUGUGGCUCUCCCCCCCGGCGAGCAUGGUCCUGCCGGCAGCACCCGGUGCCCGGUAGCGUAGGCUCAGCUGCACACACAGGCUUGUUUAUUGUAGGGUCACGCAGGGCUGGAGCACCCUGGCAGAGGCACAGCCUGUGCCGGAGCUGGCGCCAGGGCGGGCACUUGCACGGGGACCCUGUGCAUGUUUUGGGGUGGGCAGGGGGUAUUUAUUUAGUUGCCGGUCUGUUCAGCUUUGUUGUAAUAAGUAAAGCAGCCUGCUCCAGGAA